AUGGCUUUAACUCUAAUUGAGGGGUAACAUAGCAUUCAUUGGUGGGUGUUUCUGGAAGGAUUUGUUUGAUGUUUACUUAAGAGAAUUCAAUUGUAAGCGGGGAGUAAAAUAGCAUUGGGGCUUGGAGAAUUGAGACAUAGCAAAAAAAAUGAGCUCACGAGGGGCCAAUGUGUUGCUUUCGAGAGCCAGCAGGAUCAAGCAGAAGCUUGAGUCUGCACUGGAAACAAGUGUUCUGGAAAUUGAAGAUGUUUCUUAUAAGCAUGCAGGCCAUGCGGCCGUUAAGGGAGACGCGAAUGAGACCCAUUAUAAUUUGAAAGUCGUUUCAGCCAAAUUUGAUGGGCAAAGCCUGGUGAAACGCCAUCGAAUGGUGUAUGAUCUCUUGGCGGAAGAGCUUCAGUCUGGGUUGCAUGCCCUGUCAAUAGUGGCAAAAACUCCACAAGAAGCUGG